rnacentral:lncRNA from 1 species
ACCUCUCAACGGGACCCAUUUCACAAGGACGGUGAUGGAGUAAAGCCCUCCUAAAGAACCUAUGUGUCUGCUCAGAGUCAUGCUGGGAAAUUUGCAGAAUCAGGAGCCGUGGGAGAGGAUAUCUGGGAACACCAGAAGUGCUAGGUCUGCAUGUGGCUUUCUCCAGCUGUUAUCUUGUCAUUUCUGUACCGCCCCCUUUGACACUACGGGAGGGGAAGAACCAGGCAGUAAGCACGACCUCCGGGACGCCUCGCUGUGGACAGCAACACUGCAGGAACCAGAGAAGCAGGCACCCUUGUCCUCACCUUGUUUUCUCCGCACGCAUCGCAUCACAGGCGGGGCAUGCAGACGGCGUCUACUCGAGGCCUCGCCUGCAGGCCAGCUGCCCAUCUAUUCCCAGCGUGACGAACGGAAACAAAGAAAGAAGCAGACACAGGAAAGGAUGGAAGCAAGGAUGUGGAGGAAAGGGACCCGAACUGUUGGUGGGCUCGCAAACUGCUGCGGCCACCCCGGGGAACAGCGCGGGGUGUGGGGGUCCUGAAAACAUCACAAACAGAAAUAGCACUUGACCUGGCACUCCCUCCCACUUCCGGGUACUUAUGCACAGGAAACACUAAUUGAAAAGAUAUCUGAGACCCCAUGGCCACAGAGCUAUUCACAAUAGCCAAGACGUAAAACAACCUAAGUCCCAUGGAUGGAUGGACAGGUGGAUGUAUGGACAGAUGGGUGGAUAGAUGGAUGGAUGGAUGGAUGGGCGAAUGGAUAAAGCCAUUCAGCCAUAGGAAAGAAAGAAAUCCGGGGCCUGGGUAGUUCAGGUCAAGCAUCUGACUUCAGCUUAGAUCAUAAUCUCACAGUUCAUGAGUUCGAGCCCCACAUCAGGCUCUGCGCUGACAGCUCAGAGCCUGGAGCCUGCUUCGCAUUCUGUGUCUCCCUCUCUUUCUGCUCUGCUCCUCCCUCGCUCACACUCUGUCUCUCCCUCAAAAAUAAAUAAACGUAAGAAAGAAAGAAAGGAAAGAAA